rnacentral:lncRNA from 1 species
UUCCAAAAUUUUAAAUUCCCUCCCAAAAUUUUAAAUUUCCCCCUAAAAUUUUGCUAUGAUUUAAAAAAAUAAAAAAAUAAUUGUUUGGUUUAAUAAAUAAAUAAAUAAUAUGUAUUUAAAUAGUGUUGAUGACACACCCCAACCGAAGCCAAGGCAUGCUGGCCGUCACGUGAGAGUGACGUAGCCAUGUGCACAGUGCGGAAGCGGUAAAGAUAGCAAAUAUACGAAUAAUUAAAAACCAAAUUACUAGGGUGCACUACUAAACGAAAGUGAUAGGAGUUAGUUACAACAGUGAACACUCAUAAUCAGAGCAUUAGAAGUCUAGGUGCGUACUAGUAGGACAAGUACUAGUUACACAGUACCAGGAAUGUCCUACUAUUAUUCAAAUAGGUUAGAACUGCCGACGAUCCCGAGCCACUAACAGCAACUUACUUAGAACCUGGAGGGGCGCAAAA